rnacentral:rRNA from 1 species
CAGCAGCCGCGGGAAAACGUAGGGUGCGAGCGUUAAUCGGAAUUACUGGGCGUAAAGCGUGCGCAGGCGGUUCGUUAAGACAGAUGUGAAAUCCCCGGGCUUAACCUGGGAACUGCAUUUGUGACUGGCGAGCUAGAGUAUGGCAGAGGGGGGUAGAAUUCCACGUGUAGCAGUGAAAUGCGUAGAGAUGUGGAGGAAUACCGAUGGCGAAGGCAGCCCCCUGGGCCAAUACUGACGCUCAUGCACGAAAGCGUGGGGAGCAAACAGGAUUAGAUACCCGUGUAGUCCCUGUCUCUUAUAC